AACCUGCGGAGGGAUCAUUACUGAGUGAGGGCUCACGCCCGACCUCCAACCCUUUGUGAACCAAACUUGUUGCUUCGGGGGCGACCCUGCCGACGACUCCGUCGCCGGGCGCCCCCGGAGGUCUUCUAAACACUGCAUCUUUGCGUCGGAGUUUAAACAAAUUAAACAAAACUUUCAACAACGGAUCUCUUGGUUCUGGCAUCGAUGAAGAACGCAGCGAAAUGCGAUAAGUAAUGUGAAUUGCAGAAUUCAGUGAAUCAUCGAAUCUUUGAACGCACAUUGCGCCCUUUGGUAUUCCGAAGGGCAUGCCUGUUCGAGCGUCAUUUCACCACUCAAGCCUGGCUUGGUAUUGGGCGUCGCGGUUUUCCGCGCGCCUUAAAGUCUUCCGGCUGAGCUGUCCGUCUCUAAGCGUUGUGGAUUUUUCAAUUCGCUUCGGAGUGCGGGCGGCCGCGGCCGUUAAAUCUUUAUUCAAAGGUUGACCUCGGAUCAAGUAGGGAUA
rnacentral:rRNA from 1 species